rnacentral:rRNA from 1 species
GACGGACGCUGGCGGCGUGCUUAACACAUGCAAGUCGAGCGGUAAGGCCCUUUCGGGGUACGACGAGCGGCGAACGGGUGAGUAACACGUGGGUGACCUGCCCUCAGCUCUGGGAUAAGCCUGGGAAACCGGGUCUAAUACUGGAUAUGACUCCAUGACGCAUGUUGUGGGGUGGAAAGCCUUGUGCGGCUGAGGAUGGGCCCGCGGCCUAUCAGCUUGUUGGUGGGGUGANGGCCUACCAAGGCGACGACGGGUAGCCGGCCUGAGAGGGCGACCGGCCACACUGGGACUGAGACACGGCCCAGACUCCUACGGGAGGCAGCAGUGGGGAAUCUUGCGCAAUGGGCGAAAGCCUGACGCAGCGACGCCGCGUGA